GACAGAGGGUGCAAACGUUGUUCGGAAUUACUGGCGUAAAGCGCGUGUAGGCGGUCGGGCAAGUCGGAUGUGAAAGCCCAGGGCUCAACCCUGGAAGUGCACUCGAUACUGCUCGGCUAGAGUCCCGGAGAAGAUGGUGGAACUCUCGGUGUAGAGGUGAAAUUCGUAGAUAUCGAGAAGAACACCGGUGGCGAAGGCGGCCAUCUGGACGGUGACUGACGCUGAGACGCGAAAGCGUGGGGAGCAAACAGG
rnacentral:rRNA from 1 species